UCGAGCGGUAGCACAAGAGAGCUUGCUCUCGGGUGACGAGCGGCGGACGGGUGAGUAAUGUCUGGGAAACUGCCUGAUGGAGGGGGAUAACUACUGGAAACGGUAGCUAAUACCGCAUAACGUCGCAAGACCAAAGAGGGGGACCUUCGGGCCUCUUGCCAUCAGAUGUGCCCAGAUGGGAUUAGCUAGUAGGUGGGGUAAUGGCUCACCUAGGCGACGAUCCCUAGCUGGUCUGAGAGGAUGACCAGCCACACUGGAACUGAGACACGGUCCAGACUCCUACGGGAGGCAGCAGUGGGGAAUAUUGCACAAUGGGCGCAAGCCUGAUGCAGCCAUNCCGCGUGUAUGAAGAAGGCCUUCGGGUUGUAAAGUACUUUCAGCGAGGAGGAAGGCAUUGUGGUUAAUAACCACAGUGAUUGACGUUACUCGCAGAAGAAGCACCGGCUAAC
rnacentral:rRNA from 1 species